rnacentral:rRNA from 1 species
CGCGUAGGUGGCUUGAUCAGCCGGUUGUGAAAGCCCCGGGCUCAACCUGGGAACGGCAUCCGGAACUGUCAGGCUAGAGUGCAGGAGAGGAAGGUAGAAUUCCCGGUGUAGCGGUGAAAUGCGUAGAGAUCGGGAGGAAUACCAGUGGCGAAGGCGGCCUUCUGGACUGACACUGACACUGAGGUGCGAAAGCGUGGGUAGCAAACA